rnacentral:lncRNA from 1 species
GCCUUCCUUCCCCAGCAUACUAAUGCCUUGCCCAAUGAAUUUCCCAAGUUGUUAACAAAUGAGGUGCAGUAUAUUUAAUAAUAUUAACAUAUUGUUGCAAGGCUUAUUUAAUAACAGGUAGGAGGGAUGAGUUCUCAUGUCAGAAAAUGGAGGGCCUCAUGCCAUUUGGAGACCUGCUCAUUAUCCGUUCUUACAAUUUAAUGAUAUAUGUGUCUAUUACCGAGGAGAAGUAGAGGAUCUACUCAGGAACUCUGUGAGAUUGAUUGACUGGAAAAACGCAUAAAGGCUUAAACUAUCUUACAUCAUCUGCCAUGCAUACAGGACACUUUCUCUGCUAUGUGAAAAACUCUGAGCAACUGGAGACAGUGAAAAUAUGUAAAUGGGACUGGGCUGAUUUCAAGGAGAUGACAUGUGGGUUCUGAAUGUGUUCGGCAAACCAGGAAAUCACAUCCUUCCCAUUCCAGGAACCAGGACCUCAUGAGCGAACUUCGCUCUGGAGAAACCUAGUGAGAUGUGAGAACAACUUGUGCAAUAAAAUCAGUGGGGAAUGGAUAUCAAAGUGUACAGCAACAUACUCAGCUGUCCCCAGAUGUUCAGAUACCAAGAAGAUGACAAUGAGGAGCCUGGGAGAUGGCAUUCCUUGAACCUCAACAACUCCAACAGUCUCACAAGCAUUCAAAUGGGUUAGAGGAGAGUUUGCUCUUGUAUUUCUUCCUGUAAUAGCACACACAUAUCAGACCAAUGUUUUACACCUCUUCAACACACACAGUGGCUGAAAUGGAUAAUUUGGAAAAGAGACGGAUGGCAACAAGUGUGAGUGUGGAACACUAAUCCUUAGCUGAUUCCACAAAAGUCGUAUACUAUUUAUUCAAUAGUAAGUGAGAAUGAAGCAAGGGUCUGCCCAUAUGAGAGGGCCGGAAGUGGAAGGACUGUCAUGGAUUUCAUCUGAAUCAGUUUGCAUUCACAUGUCUUUGGUUUAAUUCUUAGGGAGCCCCAAGUGGAGCCAGGAGAUGGGCUCAGUGAUCUUCGGGGACAUUCUGUGAUUCUGUGAUUCUCCACCUAUUAGGCAUAAAUUGAAAUGGCACUGAGAACCACAGUAAAGUUCAGCAAAUUGCACAGGGAAUUGGUUUUCAUCCAUCAGUUAGGAAAGAAAAGCUUGCAGGCCAAAAGAGAUCAGAAGUCUGUACGUUGUGCUGUGUUGCCAGCAUCAGCCACUGGCAGAUCGCAAUUCAGAAGAUGAAACAGUUUGCAGUGUAAAGACAGGGAGUGUUAACUGAGAAUCUUAAAAUGAAACGUAACUGUGUAGUUAAUAGCCUUAUGACAGGGCAAAGCAGAACAAAAUACGGAACAAGAAAGGACAUCUCCCAUGCUUCUUACUACAGGAAACAAACUUUCACUAUCGAUGACAAUAGCUAUUGUAGAAGAAGAUGGAUGGCAUUGACACAGUAUGUGAUUACUAAGAUAGAUUUUCUUGGUCAAGCCAAAUAUUUUUGAUUGAAGAAGAAAUAAAUAUAUUUUUCACUUCAUGUUAUAGCUGCUGUUGUCUGAAACCCAGUGGGGAAAAACAAUUGUAAAAACAUAUUUUGUUUUCCUGAUUAUUUUCCAAAGGAACUCUGAACAAAACACAUUCAGGAGUUGAAAAAUCCAACUGGCUCUGAUGUUUCCUGUUUUCCUGGAUUGCAGCAGUGCUGAUAGUCAGAUACGGCAUGAGAAGGGUGUGGGAAAUGGCAGCAGAACAUACCCUGCCCUGUCUUGGAACAUGAGGAACUUCACCUGUGCUCAAAGAGAAGAUCGAGGAAAACUGGCAGAGGGAGGAAGCGUAUCUGGAGUGUUUUGGCUGUCGUGUAAAAUUUAAAAGAAUGUAUAAAUCCAUUGCAAAGGCUGUGUUUUGUAACAAUCUCCUUCCGUGAAUUUUGCUGGUUUCUGAAAUUCCCCAUCUGCAAACUUCUAUUAUAUUCUUCUCAGUUCUUCCCUGAUUCUUCUUUUUUUAUUAUUAUUAUUGAAUCCCCCAGGAUUUUCUAGCCAGAGGAACAUGUAGCUCUCAUAAACGAUGUAGACCUGCAUCCCUUUGGCUUCUCUGCUCUGAUGCUCAGGGAAAACCUGAAAAUAGACAUCAGGAUGGUUUCUUCACCCUCUGCCACUGUCUGACAUAGAUGACCUUCAUCAAGUCACAUCAUCACACACACCCAUUUAUAGAUCAGAGAGGGCAGUACUGCCUCAUUUGAGCACUGCUGUGGGUUAUGGGAGCCUUGCUAACUGCAGGGGCUGUGCAAAGGGAGCGCUGCGCAGGUUCAGACUGUCCCUGUGCAAGGAUUCCUCCGACGGCAGCACCGCCACGUCCCGUCUCACAGCACCUGACAACAUUCCAGUUGGAGCUUGCACUUUCAGGCAGGGGCUUUCAAGUUUGAUCCCUUCAAAUCUCUGAAGUUCACCCGCACAAUUACCUCUGCUGUUCAAAGCAAGCCAGGGCUUAGAUGGAAAUAAAGAACACGAAAGGAUUUCCCAGGGUGCUCCUGGAUACAGAGAAAAAAAAAAAAAAAAAAAAAAAGGAAUGGAAAGGGAAAAAAAAAAAGAAGAGAGAAAGAAGAAAGAGAAGAAGCAUUACACCUUGAAGUUCUUGCAGUUUAUGUGAUAUUGUGUGAUAUUAAAUGGCCAAAUUCUGUUCUCAGGUGGCUGAGAUCAAGCCCUGCUAUGCUGCUGUUGCAGCCAUCAGCACACAUCUUGGUGCUCUGUGUGCUCAGGGGGAACAGCUGUGGGAUCCCUGAGGGUAUGGGGACCUAAUUUGCCCUAAAAAGCCCAGAGGACCUUUGCUAGCAGUUGUAACACUUCUCUCAAACAGUAUUGUGUUUUCAGCUGGAGACAGCAGCUGCCCCUUGCAGAAUUCAGGCUCCAUCAGACCGAAGCUCCAUCCCGUUGUUUUAUGAGAAAUUCACAUACACAUAGCUGUAAAUUAGACAUAUCAUGGAUUAACCUGUAAUAAGCUGCUCCUUUAGGUUUAAAAUUGUUACCAAUGAGCCGCAAAUUUUAACUAUUACCUACACCUUAUUCCCUCCCUGACUCCGUUUGCCCUGUUUCCAGUGUUGACCUCACUUCCUGCUUUUCUCUUUCUUCUCCUGCUAAUUAGGCAUAUUUGUAUGUCUUAGGAGGGCACCUGAUCUUGCUGCUUAUUUCCCACUUGGAUCAAAAGUCUUUAAAAAAAGUUUCAGCUUUUAAAACACAUUUUACGAGAUGACUAUAUAUAUAACUAACCUCUUAGGAUCGAUACUGACCUACAUCUUUUUCUUCUGUCAUAAUGGGCUUAUCUUUACCUGAUGCUUAAAAUAAUCUUUUCACCUGAGCAGUUCUGUCAUUUACACUUUCUUUCUCUUUCUGUCUGUUAAAAAAACAUUGCAAGGAAAAGAAAAAUCAUCUAUUGGAUACAGCCUGUUUGCACUGGGCACACAUGUUUAUGAAUCAGAUAAGACCUUUGUGUGUCAGGUAGGUGGUGGCACUAAAAGCUUUGUAUAUCACGACAUCAAAGCAGCCAGGAGAUGAAAGAGCAUAUUUUUGCAUCAUAAACAAUAUUUACAUAUUGUGAUAUUCCAAGAAUCUUUCAUUUAAACAGGUGGAAAAACAGGGAAGCAAGCACACAUGCAAGGCAAAAUCUUACUUGUGGUUGAUGAUUAAAUUUUAUAUGGCUUUGAUAUAACCACUGCAAUUAAGUGCAGUGAUGAGCAAGGACUUGUUUUGCUCUUUAUAGGGUACACAUUGUUUACUAAUCCCUGGUUCAUAUGAUAAAUCCGUCAUCAUCUGGGCACAGCUGCAAAUAAAAUUUUAAAAGGACAAUUUUCACCCAGUGGAGCAAAUUUCAGACUUCUUCUCUCUCCUGUGCAGUCUCACUGUAUUUUUUCCCCCUGUGCAAAGCUUAAUAUAGGCAACUUUUGAACUCAGACUCAGACUUCAGCCCUUUUGUCUCCAGAUUCUAUCAAUUGUCAGGCUCUGGAUCACACAUUCUCAAUGUAAAUAGAGGCUGGAGAUUCAUUUAGCUUUGCAGCCGAAGGUGGUUGUUAAAAACUGGAACGCGCUCAAUCACUGCAAAUCAACACACUGCAAUUUUCACUUUUCCUGAUUUUGAGCAUUCAUCACCACUUGCUCUUCACCCUUGAAAAGAAGGGCAAAAAGACAAAUUACUUUAAUUAGGAAUUAGUUAUGAGAGAAUGAGGUGUUCUAAUUAUAUCUAGAACCUCUUAAAUAGUUUCACUCAGGCUUAUUUGAUUUCUUAAUUACUGAAAGAGAAAAGCCGCGUGCAAAUUGUGUCAGUUUUUUAAAAGUGAAAUGCUGUCGCUCCUUUGAUAUGAUGGAUUAGUCUUCAAUGAACAGCGGUAAGGCAAUAACACCUCUAAGACAGCACAUGCAUUAGCACAGGACAAUCUUUUUUUGUUGAAACAUUAGAUAAUCACCUUCUCUCGUAUCUCAAAAUACAUUAUUUUAUACACUACAGUGUGAAACCAUAGAUGUGACAGGCUGUAAUGAUUUAUUUAUGAGACAUUAUUCUUUGAUGCAAGAAUACAUUAGGUUAUAGAUCCCAUUUCCACAGAUAUAAUAUGUCAUGUGCUGCAUCUGAGCUCCAGUAAGAUACUGUAGGAUGUGAGUUUCAUUUUGUAUAUAUAAAACUGCAUAUAAAUAUAUAUUUUAUGGCUCUAUCAACAACCAAAGUUGAAUAGCAGUUUCCCUUUUAAUGGAUCCUUCAAAUCAUAUUUUUCCUGGGCUUGUCUGAAAAUAUAUAUCAAAUUGGUGGUAGGUCUGAAGAGACUGUGGUGGCAACAGUAUUUAGUUUAUAAAUGCUUUGAAUACUAUUCUUUGUUAUGGAUGUUGAAUGUAUCUAUUUUAGCUAUUUCAGGAAUUAUGUAGAUCAUUUUGAAAGUAAUUAUCCAGAUUAUUAGCAGCAUUUUUCAACUGUAUCUUUGCUUGUCUUAAUAACAAGUCCAACUGUAUCUGAAACACAGAGUGCAGCUCAAAUUCUGAAUCAGAAAGCGCAGCACAAAUUUAAAAUCCCUCUAAAAAUGGUUUUCAUGAUUUCUUAUUCUAUUUUUCUUCCUCUCUUCUUUACUGAAGGCAAAAUUUGUGAAAGAUUCAGUGUUGGAUGGACAUGUCUACCAGGCAAAGACAGCAGCUAGUGUUCAUCACAUCUGCAGUCCGACUCUGGCAGGAUCAGGACUCGGAUGGCCAGUGCCUAUGGGGCUGAGAGUGAGGAGGGACCUGGAACCUCAUGGGGACAGGAAAAGAAGAGUCAGGUCCUGUUCCAUGGAGAAACAGAAGGAAUUAGAGUAUCCUCCUCUCAACAAAGACAGUUCUUCCAUUUCAUGGAAAGAGGAUGCACCACUGCUUGCUUCAGUCUGCUAUAAUACUUGCAGAAAUUGCCUACAUCAUCUACAUUCAAAGCCUGCUCUGUAAUGGGCAGUGGAUAUCACUUAUGUAAUUAAGCAGAGUGAUUGCCAAACCAGGUUCAUGAACGUAACAAUCAUGCAGUAUGGAGUAAACAGGAGUCAGAAGCACAGUUCUGUCCCUCUUCCAGUUCUGCCCAUCAAGGCACAUCAGACAUCAAGGAUGGUCUCGUAGGUAGUUUUCAUAAUGGGAAAGGACCUAAUAGUGGUAACAAAGCCUUGAUGUGCAAGAUGCUGUAUGAAUCUUCAGCCCCCAUCCAUUUCAGUAGAUGUUAAAGGUGCAAAGUAUUUGGCCUAAUUCAUCAACUUGUCUUUCUCUACUUACUUCUUCACCACAGAGUAACUCAAAAAGUCACUGUAGGUUUUGAGUUGUUCUCUGCAGUCCUGUAUUCUAGAUUCUAUUUUUUUUUAAGGUAUAUUCAUUUAUUAGUAUGAAUCAUGGUCAAUUUAAAAAGCUUUCAUGUUAAAGACAGUACUCAUAAAAUCUAUAAUGGAUAUUUCAUCCAUUUUCCAAGAAUUCUGAAGAUCAUUUUUUAAUCAUGAUGAAUCAACAGCUCCUUCUGACACAGCACUGUUUCUCCACCAAGGCCAUUGCAUGGCAUGCAGGCAUGCUGUCAGAGCAGAACCAGCUUCAGGAUGUGCUAUGACUUGACCUGCCUGCAAGAGAGGAUAGAACAUCCUGUAACUUAAGAACUCUUCCAGCAAUCCUCCAAUUGUUUCAAAAUUAUUUGAUAAAAAUGCAAUUUAGGUCCUCUUGAGGUUCAUCUUAUAGGGAAAUAUACCUUUACAUUAAUACACUGGUAUAAGGCUAGAAUGUAACAGAUGAGAACUGCAGUUGUUCUAACUACUGUAAUGUUUUGUGAGCUGGGAAGAUUUCAUUCCACUUCACUAUGAAUUUGAUCAAGUUAAAUUUCAGUAAGAAAAAUGAUGGUAACAUAAUGCCAAAGAUCCAUUAAACAAGAUCUUACUGCACUAAGUGUUGCAUAUAUUGAAUUAAAAGAUUGCCUUACUGUUGUGGUUUAACCCAGCAAGUGGCAAAGCACCACACAGUCAUUCAUUCACUGUUCCUCUUCCAAGUGGGAUUGGGGAGAGAACUGGAGUUGCGCCAGGGGAGAUUCACGUUGGAUAUUAGGGAAAAUUUCUUCUCUGAAAGAGUGAUCAGGCACUGGAAUGGGCUGCCCAGGGUGGUGGUGGAGUCACUGUCCAUGGAGGUGUUCAAGAAAUGUUUAGAUGUUGUACUGAGGAACAUGGUUUAGUGAGGAAAUAUUGGUGGUAGGUGGAUGGUUGUGCUUGAUCUUGGAGGUCUUUUCCAAUCUUAAUGGCCUCAAUGACUAUGAACUAUCAUUAAAAGUGACACUCAGGAGAACAGUUCCAACUGUUCACAAACAUGUUUUCCCUGUCAGACUUGAUUUUCUAUAUUUCCAUAAUUUUUUACCAUAAACUCUGUGUUUUAUAAGAUUGUCUGUAUAUUUGAGGGUUCUCUUCUGAAGAUGUUAUUCCAGAAUGGUUUUAUUCUUUAAAUAUUAAGGUGAAGAGAAUCAAAGAUUUUACACCCUUCCUCUCAAGCUGCCUUAUUCUUCAAAAAAUGUUUAGAAUUGCAUUAACAUCUUGUAAAACUAUAACAUUAGCAGCUAGAAGUCAUUGUUAAAGCUUGAAGACACUGUCAGUGAAGUCACAUUAAUUAAUGUUUCCUGUGUUAAUGUAUCUAAAUCUUAACUGUAAUUGAGUAGUUACAUCAGCUAGGUUGUCCUUUUUACUUUUUCAGACCUUAAGCAGUAUUGAUGAGUAUUUCCUGUUAUCUGAAUAACAAUAUACUCCAGGAUUGUAAAGGUAAUGUGUCCAUUAGCAGUAAGUCUCUCACUGGCCCUUACAGCUCCCACAUCCUCGUUGGAAAACAGGGCCACAGUCCUGAAGACCUGAGGCUGUUUUAAGCUCCUCAAAUAAAGACGUUUCUCUCAAAGCAGAGUUAGAAGCUGAAGAUAACAGAGUGCAAUAGGACUUGUGAAAAGGAUGUCAGCAAUGUCAGUUGUCAUGGUUUCAGGUCUGAGAGAACGUUAAGUUUCUGAACUUGUUCUGUUAUCAGAGCCACUCUCAGUUCCCCAUUUAUUGCCAAACUAUGUAGACUCAGAGAAGCUGGAAACAUGAGGGACCUGUCUGGCAUCUGAGUUCAGACUCUUUCAGGAAUGCUCCAUACCUAAGUUUCCAAAACAUACCAAGUGCUAAAUGGCUUCAUCCAGGGACCCUUGAAGCCACUGAAGUGCAAUGUAUCAUUGAGGUGCUUUUCUCGUCCAAUAAUUCUAAUUUUUGUAGAGUUACUUAUAAGGUCUUGCAUCUGCAAAGCAGAAAAAAAGAUUGAGAAAACUUUAUUUCCAAAAAUUAAAAAUUAAAUAAAGGUUAAUUUAAUAAAGGUGAUCGUAUUUCAAUUAAAAAAAAAAAAAAAAAAAAAAAGUACAGUUCCUUUUCACGGUUUUAACAUCAGAAAUGUUUAAACAGCCAACACCUCCCAACCAGGUAUCUUUUUUGAAGCAUCUAUAUAUUGAACAAAAUAGUUAGGAGUUAUCAUAUCUACUGCGACCUAGUAGUAUUUUUGAUACAGGAUUUCAGAUCAAUUAACAGAGGGUCACAGAGUGAGAACUACUUAAGAGUGUGUCCCAGGUAGGGCACUGCCAAUGGCACAAGCCAAGCAGAACGCAGGAAUUCAUCCUUGAGAUCCAACUGGAAGAUGUCAUUGAAAUGCCACAAGUUCUGUCUGCCAGACUUCAAGUUGACAGGAUUGAGAGCUUCCCUCUUUGGAAAAAAAAAAAAAAGACAACAGAUAAAGAUGCCUCAGUGGAAAUAUGCCAGGUUUCUAUGCAAUCACUCACCUCGUCAAGCUGGAAUAAUUUCCACAUUGCUCCAUCAUACAUUGACUCGAAUUACACUAUAACUUUGAAAUCAACAUUUUCUAGUUGUCUCCUUGAAAACUUCUCAAAAUGAUCUUCUUAUCCUUUCUGUUUUCUUGCAUUCUGAUGCUGAUUUCUUGCAUUCAUCUGAUGCUGAUUUCUUGCAUUCUUCUGAUGCUCAUCGUAUUUGGAGUACAGUAUCAGCUGCAACUGAGGAUACAAACCGAUACAUAUACUGACUACAGAUAUGUUUGCAUUUACACUUGUGUAUGCGUACUGCAUUGCAGUGGAAAAAAAAAAAAACGUUUACUUAAGUGAAAUUGGUAUUACUCUGUUCUCAUAUGGCUAUGCAGAGGGCACGGUUACCUUCCAGUGGGAAAUAGAUACCAUAGAGGCAUUUAACAUCAAGCAGUUGACGGUGAAACUACACACGCUUUCAUAUAAAAUGCCACGGAACUAAGUUACUGCAUUCUUCAAUAUUCUUCUCUGAGACCACUUCUAACUUUUAUGAUCCCUCUAAUUCAAACUUAAGUAAUAGAGAAUGUGUCAAUACAACUUUCCCUUUAAGUAUUGCUAAGGAGCAUGCAGGAGCCCACAUGUUUGCUUAACUGGCCCUGCAACCAACACUGCUAACAAUAAAACCAGAAGUUCAAACCCAGUUCCUUGCUUUCAAGUAUGCCCUUCAAACAGAAAAUACCAGUUUGUCAUCCUUCUAAAACAAAGUGCAUGAUAACCAGGAAUAAAUCUAACGUAUCUACCCCAUCAUUUUACUGACUUUUUUCAACACAUACUUUCUACCAAAGGUAACAGCUACUCAUGGCAUAUAUGCGUGUGCAUUGGUAAGCAUGCCUCAGAGACAUACAACCUCCCCCACCCUGCAUUUUCAAGUGCUAUAACACACUGCCUGCUUCCUAGUCCUGCAAAUACCCUUGAAGUGGAAUAAUGUUUAACAGAGGGCAAUACUGCUGGAGAACUGCCAAAGAAAUGAAGGGUGAGGGAAGCCAGUCAAGGCAUUCUGAUGAAUAUUUUUGUAUCUCCAAAGACACAACUAUUAUGCAAACAUUGACCUGUUUGUCAAGCAAUCACAGUUUACUAUUGCUUAAAGGUCACAGAAGUUUCUAAGAUUAUUAAAUAAUGCAUGGAGCCAAAGACCAAGGAUAUUAUUUAAACAGUGGAGGUAACUUUUGUUAGUGAAGGACAAUACGAUGACAAUGCCCCUUUAUUUUCCCUUGAAAAUCUCUAGAGUUUGCACUGUAAUAUAGUAAUGGCCCGUUUAAGCUGAAAGAAGGAACUCUGCUGCGGAAAUGUGGCUCAGUACUACAAUAAAAUAUUACAUGCAUUUUUCUCCCCCUUUCUCUACAUUUGUUGGUACAUGAUUUAUGUUUUUCUACAGGCCUUUCUCUGGUGCUAGGGAGCAACAGUCUCUCCAGCAGUCUAUACACAUAUAUUUGUGAAUGCAAUGAUCAGUCCCCAUUUGUCUUUCCAAUGUGGAUUAUAAUCCAGUGCAAAAAUUGUUUUGCAACAAUUGAGAGUAUGUGCUGUGCACACAUAAACAGGAAUCAGCAGAGGUUUGCAAAACCUAGUAUCAACUUUGUCAUCUGUUGAGACUGCUUCAUGAUAAGAAAUCCCACACUUACAGUUUCCCAAAGGCUGCAGUCCCUUCUAUUCUCACUAGGCCUUCCAGGUCAUCUCUUCAUGGUCUUCAGAUAUUCCCAAACUCCAGCUAGGUGAGUGAUCCCUUCCAAUGCAAAGAAUUCUGCUCCAUGACCUUCAGUUUCCAGGUAGCUGCCCUUUUGACAGAGACCCAGAAGGAUACAUUUCCCCCAUUUCACCAAGCAGCUACCAAGUUGUUCUGAAAGCUGCAGUGAGCUGGCCCUGGGAUCUUCAUCAGAAACUACAAGCAGAUAAUCUCAAAGGUUUUGUUCCAUCUCAGAAAUAAUCAGUAGUUCCCUCUACAUUUAUAAAGCACAGCUCUGUAUAAACUGGAAGAUAAUGGAAGUGAAGUAUUAAUGACAGAAUUUCUGAUUUAAACAAAAUGAAUAAAAAAAGAAUAGCAGUCAUGAAUUUGGGUGGAUUCUAGCACUCAGUGUUUUUUUUUCUUCUUGGUGGUACUUGGCUACUGUUGCCUCAUUUUUAUGAACAUUUAUAUUUGGAAGACUCCCCAUUAUCAUUCUGCUUGGUUGCCAACAGCAAAAGCCAUAACGACAGGUCCAAGAAGGGACAGAGAAAGAAGAACAUUUGGAGGCCAACAGAGAACUAAAAUUUCAGUUUCAUUCAUCAUGAUCAUGAAUAUGCACUCCCAUCAAAACAUUUAUAGGUGACUUACAGUAAUAUGAAAGACACCUAGCUGCCAAGAAACCUUUGGUCAUAUCACAGGGCAACCGAGGUUAUCAUCAAGAACAAAAACUAAUCUUAAAAAAAAAAUCCAAUAAAAAGACAAUAUCUCUGGACAAUUAUUUCACAUGACAAAUAUCACGACUUCAUAGAAUAACUCAGUCAUUCCAAGAAGCACUAUUUCUCCUGGAAAUCCAGAUGAAGUGAUUUGUGGAGUGGGAGGUACCUAAUAAAGCCAGUGGAAGUGUUGGCAGGGAGUUUAAUGGCACAGCACCAGAAUGACACUCCUGACCUUACAGUUUAAGCAAGAUGCCUUCAGAGGAAAGAGAAGAAAGAGCCCGUUAUUAAUGGAGUUGACAGAUACAGAAUUAAGCCUGAUAAACCCAAACUACAUUCUUCAGAGUCACCUUCCCACUGAAAACUUAUGGGCAUUUGAAAUUACAUGCAGUAACUUCAUUUCUUAUCCCAAGAGGAGGUGAGUAUUCGUUUGUAUACCCUGGAGACUCUUCAAAUAAACCACUGCUCAGGGCACUGUCUGCCAGACCCACCUUCCCUAUGAUCUAGGGGAGAAAAGCAUCAAAUGAAAGCCAGAAAGUUCACCCAUCUGGAUGCAACCUGCACGUACUAAAGUGGGCAUGUCUGUUCUGUUAGCAGAGAUCCCCAGCUCCCAGCUCAGUGCAGCGCCAGGAGGAGACGCCAUGCCAGGUCAUGAAGCCAGAUCUGUAUUCAUAGGCUGUUGAACCCAAAUAAGAAAUCCUCUCUGUCCACAUUCAGCAGUAAUACAUGGCAUGCACCCAGUGUGCUCAGGUGGAUUAUACAGAUGUGUGCAGUACCUAAACCAUGCUGCUGCCAGCUCUCCAUGGCAACUCAUUUCAGCAAAGACAGGGACACUUGUAGGAAAGCAAACUGAUGCAGGAGAAUUUAAUAAGUCUUGAGCCUACAUGAAAAUAAAGCCAAGCUUUCCUUAUCCUGUCUUGUCCUCACUGUUCAAUAAAAAGAAUGCAAGAAAAAAAAGCAAUCUGUAGAGUAUAAAUCAUGACUUGAUAAAUGUAGGUCCUUAGAAGCCAGUUGUGUAAAUACAGAUACACCUGCAGGCCCUGAUAACCAGAUUAGCAGCAACAGCUGCCAGACCAUGCAGCAACAACCAAGAGAUAUUGUUGUGUCCUGGCCAACGAAGUUUCCAGAUUGACUCUCAGGUGCUUCCCGUACAUCACUGUUAGUGAGAGCAAUGCAUCAUGAAAGUAGAUGAUCUCCAUUGAUCUUGAAAAUGUAACAUUUUUCUCUUUGAAUGUAUACAAUGCAGUUUGACACUCGCACUAGUUCACAGUACCUCCAGUGUACAAAGGGAUGAGACUUUGUCUGCUGGCAGCUGGGAAGAAUAUCUGAACAGGAAAAAAGAAGUUGUGUCUGGGUUUGGUAUGACCUCAUGUUAAAUAGUAUAUCCUUAUUGGGUAAAUAUCCAUAUCAACUGAUUCAUAGGUGUCCUGCCUUACCUGUUCUUAUUGAAAAUUAGAAUCUAAAAUUAACAAUUUUUCUUGGCAAAGCUCCACUUGAAUUACAUGAAAAAAUCUGAUGAUCCUCAGAGUGACAAGAAGUACAAGCUAGAUCUAGAAAUAUACACAGGCAUAGACAGAGGGGAAAAAAAAUCUUUUUGUCCCUACCAACAAAUCUAACAUCAGUGGUUCUAUCUCAGCACUGCUCUUGUUAUUCUUCCUAGAAAUAGAGAUAGUUCAUAGACAAUAUAAUAAAAUUUAGGUGCUUGUGACCCACUGAGACUGUUGAGCCAGGCCUUCCUUGGUGGUACAGUUCCACUGGGGCUGAGGCAGUGGUAGAGCCAGGGCUGAUAACAUCAUCCACUGGCAGCCCCCAACACAGCAAGCCAUCAACCUGCCAUGAGCAGAAGGAGGUGGGCCCAGAGACACUGCUGUAGGGCAGUUCUCCUGCAACAUUGCCAAAGCAAGACAACCAGCACCAGGCAGGACUGAAACAAGGCUCCUGGGCAUGGAAAGCAGUGGGUUGAGGCUCCCACUAUGAGUAGUAUCCUCAGGAAAAUCCUUUAUAGGAAAGUGUUUGAAUACCUUUAUAUCCAAAUUCAUGUGAUAAUCCUGCCCUAAAGGACUGGCAGGACUUAGGCAUGAACUAACCAGCCAAGAACUAGUCUUCCACCACGAGUAUCGGGUCUAGACUAAAAAGCCUGUGUUUCUACUCAUUUCUAAUGAUUCAAAUGACUCCCUUCUUGACAAGAAUAUCUACUGCAACCAAAAACAGUGAAAACUUGAUAUAAGUUGAAAUGUUGACUGUAUAGUUAAUAUGGACUGAACACCUAGUCAGAUCAAAAUAACUGAAAUAAUUGAAGGGUUACUGUAUGCUGGAUGUCUCUUGUCUUUGUGAGUAGUGGAAUGGAUACUCUCACAGGCAAGCUGUGAGGCAACAAAUUCAGCCUUCACAUUUCCAGUCAAGAGGCACUGCACUGCAGACAGAACUCUGAAGAAUAAUUACUGAUUACUAAUAUACUGUGGAGAAAUUGCUUUAUUACAAGGUGCAUUCUAACAUGCUGUAAAGAUGUACAAAAAAAAAAAAAAACAAAACAAAACAGAAAAAUUAAAUACUUAAAAGAUGAUUCUAGCUUGUUGUGGCCUGUUGCAAAGCAGUUAUAAAUUGGAGUACUUACAGCGGUUCAUGCAUGUCCCUGCAUGUUUGAACAGCAUAUCAGAGAAUUUAUUUAUCAGGGGAAAAAAAAGUCUCUGCUAAGUCAUUUAGUUCUUAAAAAGGUUCCUGUCAUUUACAGUUUUGCCAGAUUCUAUAAGGCGCAAUACCAGAUUGUCACAUGGGAAAGGCUUGCAGAUUCAAGUCCUUAUUCUUCCCUCUAGCGAGUACUGGAACGAACAAAUUUGGGACACAGAGGUUACGUCAAAGCCUUCCAACUCUUUGAAGGAUAAUUACCAUAGCUGCAUAAUCACAUGGUCUACCUUCCAUGCGUUCAUGUUAAGGAGAGGACAUUAAUCUAACUAACGCCCAGCGGCUGACAUUAUAUAUAUAUAUAUAUAUAUAUACUAUAGUUCUCUAUAAGAUAUAGCACACCACUUAACAGCUGCAGAAAACUCUUUACUACAUUCACAAACCCUUGAUGGAAAGAGCUGCUUAAUUCUUUUCAGACCUGUCAUAUUAGGUAAGAGUGUUCUGCUGCAGGAUGAUGAUGAUGCUAAUUGUCACAUUGUAUUGUUUCACUAGACAGCCUAGCCCACUACUUUAUUAUGGGUUAUGUAAGAGUUACAAGAGGUAGCCAAUAAACAGUGCACUAACAGAAUCAUUUACACUCUGAAAUGUUCAGAAGUACUCACAGGUAUGUCUAGAAGUCAUCUAAAACAACGCUUUGGUUCCAGGGGAUGGCAUGUGCUGAUGCUAUGAUCUAUGUAAGACUCUCCUCAGCAAACAAAUCACAAAGAAUGUUCCCGCAGCUCUUGGUGUCGGAGGCUUGGAGGAGCUCAUCCUCUUUCAUGUUAUGCAGUAUCCAAAGAGACUAUAGUGCAAUAUUCCCUUUUUCACUAUCUGUACAAAGGUUUUGGUUGACUGGCAAGGAAAUAAUGGAAUCAAAUGGCACAUAACAACUGGCCCUCUCCCAGCGCUUGUCCAUCUUCUUUCAGUCCAUUUGUGAAAUCAUAUGGAAAUCUCAGCAAUGUUGGGAUGUCCAAACAAGCAUGGUGAGCCUUUCAGUCCCUAUUUAAUAUAUUAAUGAUCAAGAAAUUGUGUCCUUUCUCACGUGGUUUGCAAAUCUUUACUGCUGUCAUUUCCACCGGAAAGUGGUAAAAUAUGGAAGUGUUUUGAUGGAGGGAGGAGGAAAAUCUUUUCAGAUACAGUGUAGAAACAAAUAAACACAAGACAUAGUUCCUGGUUUGUAACCAAAAUCAAUAGCCAUAUGCAGCAGGACUGAGGUCAAUUUAUGCUCCCAUGUUUCACAUAUUGACAAAAUCUGUAUUAUUGUAAUGCUGUGUUUUAUUAACCUAUGUCUAAUAAAGCUUAUACUUCAUUAAAAAGCCAUUUUCAAACAGAUUCUAUGCAUUUUAUUAAUAAAUAAAUUUUAUUACUUACUGUAAAAUCAGUAACAUAAAUAAAGUACAUUAAGCAUGUCCUUUUACCUACAGAAAACAUAUCACAACUAUUUUCCUCCAAGAUCUAAUUAGAUUAAGCUUUCAUUUUCAAAACAGAAGAAAAUACCUGGGGCAGAUCUGGCUAUAAGUCAGCACCAUACCUGUUGGCUUCUUUGUUUUGUAUUUUUGUUUAUUUGGUUAUUAUUUUACCAAGUAGCAAAUUUGCCUAUGUAAUAAACAAAAGGAGCCCUCUUGUGAUAGAGCCUACUCAAAAGUAAAAACAGAUACUCGUGAAAAUAUCAAAUGAUUAAUUUUUUUGCAUUUUUUAAACAAUUAAAUGGUGUUCAUUAAUAUUUCAUACUGCACAAAUAUUUUUAUAACCAUGCUUGCUAUCUCUGUAACAUUCAGAUAUGCCUGCAAAUGUUGAGUAGCCAUAGAUCCUAGAGUCAGGCUCUUUAUUACAUAUGCUUAUAACUAUGACUCAUAAACAAGUUCUAAACUAAAUGCAGCAUAUGCAAUUGUUGAAAUAGCACUUUGUUUGGGGGAAAUAGCGUCUUGAAUUAAUGCUAUGAUGGAAGUGUGAACUUGUAUAACAUAUCUGAGUUUCAAUUUCUUACCUUUAAAAUGGGAGAAUUAACUUCAAAUGCUGAGUAUAUCACUCUUGUAAGAGAUAACAAGUCUGGAAACCAAGGAGAGUCCACAGGGUCCUCAUUGUUGAAGCAGGACAAGAAAAUUAAUUUCCCUAGUAAUUAAUAUGUUGCCACUGCAGUAAUAGACCAACAUGACAAGGUGAAGGAUCUUAGUACGAAUAUGAUCCAACAUGAUGCUUGAGCUGCAUGUUGAAAGUAGACAUUGACAUUGAUUGUUUCAUUUCUGGGAGCCUAUCAUCCAUGGCCCUAAUUAACUGCAUUUGGAAAUCUGUGUGAGCUACCUAUGGAACAGGCUUUGUCUGUCCUUGCAUUUCUCCCUGAAUGGGGCUGCAAGGCUAAACUCUCUGGUUGCCUACUUUUACAGUGGGGACAGUUGCAAUACACAUGAGCACAUUUGAAUGGCUGCUUUAACCUUUUCAGUGAGGAGAAGAUGCUCAACCAUGAGACCUCUUGUGAAGAGGAGGCAACACGUCCCAUACCCAAUUCAUUUCACGGAGGUCAUCCAAGUGCUUUCACCAAAUUCUCUUAUUUUCAUUGUGACAUGAGAAGACAUUCUUAUUGAAGUGUGCUUAAAAGAAAGCAGUCCUUGAACUCUGGAGUGACAGAAUUUUGUCUUCGUAGUUCAGUGUGGUCUACUUAUUCCCUGUGAGAGCCGAAGCAAUGCAGGAAGCACACCUUUCCCUGCAACAAUAUGGGAGGGGCUGAUACCUGGGACCUCAGUGAAGCACAGGCUGAGUUUAUUCACAGUCCAGAUUUCCUCAUUACUCCCAUGUUAUCAUUAAUAUUUCAGAUCUCCUCAAAGUCAAAAUACCAGAAUAUCUUUGUUCUCAUGAGAAAUCCAACAGCUCCUGGGGGGAAAACGCUAUCUGGAGAAAAAUCCAGACUAGAAGUGUUUAGCUGAAAAUAAUCCCCACUUUCAUUUUAAUUUACUCAUAUUUUAAUUGGAGGGAAAGAGAUGUGGGAAAUAUUGGUGAGCAGUGAAAAAGGAAGAAAGGCAAAUUCUGUACACCAAUCACUGGAGUAAAAGGUCACACCAAGGGGCAGAAUUUCCCUUCACUACAGCUGAUAAUGUUCCUCUCUAUGGAAUAUCACGGGGAAAAAAAAUCCUAAAUUUCAGUGCUUUUCAGUGAAAAUAUUUGAUUCUUAGUCUCAAGAUUUAGACUGAGAACAGGAGGCAGUGAUGGAAUAAAUGAAAUGGAAAAAACCCUAUUAACACUCCAGGUCUCCUAAGAGUAGAAGUGACAGAACAGCCUUGUUCUUUUAAACAGAGUGCAGAGGACAUUUUAGCAGAAAACAACAACCAGCGAUAAGAUCCUAUUUGAGGGGCAUCAAUUUUCCCCUCAGGGCUCUACACAGAAAAGAACGUAACAGCACAUUUUACUCCUGCUGGAGAUGUGCUAAAGCAGCUGUCCAGUACUUGGAAUAGGAGGAAAAACUGUUCUUUGUUACUUCAGUCUUUCUCUAUAUCUGAUGCAAGUCAGAAUUCAACCUUUGCAAAAUCACAAGUUGUACUCAGCUCUGGAUUUCAGAGUUACAGACCAACUCCUCCAUCAAUUCCUAUUUCCACCAUUCCUAUUUCUCUUCGUCAUACACUGCACUGGUACCCUGCAAUCACAACUUUCCCACAGUACUGAACUUCAAACAGUAAAUCACACACAAUACCAAAGUCUCAUUGAAGAGAGGUUUCAACCCAUAGUGAAAAUUGGUCUCCUGUUUUUCUUAAAAACAGGAAUAAAUUAGUAUUUGCAAACUGACUAUAACACAUCUGUAGUAUUGAGAGCUUUGUAACAGCACCCUUCCAGAGAUCUACCCUGUGUGUGUCCUCCCUUACAUUUAAGUUUCUGAAGUGAGGAGCCGACAUCACACAAGCAAGGCUGGAAGGAGCCCUAUGACAUCACCUCUGCUAUCUUUCUUCCCCAAGGUAUCAAAAGAAGUAAUUUAAGGGCAUUCUGAUAGAUCAGAGAUAGCCACCCAUUUUGUUUGGAGAAAGUAUAUGAAAGCUUUCGUACUUCAGAAGACUAUAGAACAGGCUAGAACUUUCAGAGCAAUACUUCUAUUUUCUGGCACAUUUUUUUCUAACUCGGGAACUCUUUUCACAAGAGUUUUGAUCUCAGGUUUAUCAGGCAGUUGGGGAAGAAAAGAUAAGGACUGAAACAUUUCAAACUAACUGAAAGUAUCUGUGUAAGACUGAACCUAAGGGAAGAUGAAAACUCAAAAGUGGGCAGUUGUGUUCUUGUUUAUCCCAAUCUCACCACACCCACAUGGUAGCAAAAUAGGCCCCAUGCCGAGAAUUUGUGGCAAGAGCCUAUUGUGUGGGCUUGGAAUAAUUUAAGAAUUGACUGUCAGUCUGUUUCUUGGCUUCCAGCUAUGAAGUAAUGCUCUAAGUAGAGAGCGAUACUCUGAAGCGCUCAUUACAAUCUUUAAAGCUGUCUCAUUUUCAAUUAUGAAUAUUAAAAAGAAGUACUCAGUAAUUCCUGCAUUAUAAUUAAUAUUCCAACUUUUGGUGUGGCUUGUUGGUUUUUUAAGGUCUAUUUUUAAAGACACUCUCUUAACUUAUUCCGGAGUUAGUUCCCAACAACCAAAUAUUGUUCCUGUUUAUAUCAGUGGGGAAAGUCCCAGUGAAAAAACUAAUCAGACCGAAGUUAAUGAAAACAACACCCCCAUUUAAAACAAUGCCCUAGCCUUAAACAAUCUGCUCGCAUUGCCUACUUGUAUAAAAUUUUAUAGCCUGCAUGUUCCAACCUUAAAAAAAAAAAUCCUGAUUAUUUAUUUAUGCCCUUUUUGUUUAAGAAGUUAAAUCCCCAGAGCAUCUCAAUUUAGAUCAAAAGCAAGCUACCAAAAUUCACCUGGCACACCUGUGCCGUGUGAUUUCUUAAUUACUUGCCUAGCAUUCUCAGAGCUACAAGGCAGAGAUGCAGGGCUCGUUUAGCACAUAUUCAGAUCUCUGCAAUGAACCUUGUGUAACAGAGACUUUCCAGAGUGCCCGAGGUGGUAACCAGUGUUAAACGAUCCCAUAUCUCCACAAACACUUGCAUUUCAGCAAUUUGCUUUCUCACAGGUUUCAGAAGACAGAGAGCUAUCUUGGGGUGAGUAAUCUGGGGAAAUAGAUUGAUUUAUUUAUGAGUUUCUUGAUGAAGGUUUUCCCCGGCUAGUGAGCAGCAUGGUGUUCCUUGCGCCAGUAGAGCCUUCUCAGUUCGAAGCGUAGAAGUAGGCCUAUUAAUUAUGAUAGCCACAGGUUGUUAUUACUUACAUUUAUGAUGCAACACCCUAGGAACCAAGGGAAGAGUUUGGCCAUUUCUGUUACACCUCAGACAAGUCUUCAGUUGACAGUCAUGGACAUUAACCUAAAAAGAUGUACUCAAAACAGGAGCAUGAGGUAUGGCACAAACAAGGCUCAUCUGAGGGAGCACACCCCAAGUUUUUGCUGAGACACUUCUUCCUCUUGGCUACAGGAUGUUUCUACACAGUGAUGAGAAACUGAGUUCACAUGUUAGAUGUGACUGCUGCUAUGCUGAUAUGCACGACUGACCAUUGAUAUGCCCCUUGUCUAGCCAGAGAACAUGCACCACUUGGAUGUAGAUGGGCUCAAAUUCAUGUUCAGUUUGCACGUACACUGACAAUUGUGUACAUGCAGGAGAAGAUCAAUCAUGUCUUAAACCUCCCUAGCACUGAGCACUCCUAGCUGUGUGUCUUCAUGCACGCAGUUUUAUAUUUUAAUAGGAUAGUCACGGUAAUUUGUUCUUUACAAGCGGUUUGGAUAGCAAUUAGGCAUCAAAUAUUACAGCUGCUUCUUUGGCUAUUUGUCAUUAGUGUAAUUUCAUUAAUUGGACAAAGCAUUGACUCUGUUAACCUGAAUAUAAUUUAAACUGCUGAAAGCUGAUGGCAUCUCUCUUGGUACAGUGAAAAUACACUGCUCUGUCAGAAAGCUAAAGGCAAUUAUUACUAUUAAUAGUGCAUGCUUCCACAGCACAAAGAAACUUCAGUGCCAUCAGGAUUCCUUACAUGCAAGAGAUGAAGCAGUUGACUUGAAUCACGCACAAGAUGAACAGAUGCAACCUGUGAUCCCUGCUUUAUCAGCGUGUCAUUCACUGUGACCAUUAAUGGACACAGAAAACAUUCAAUUCGAUAAUGUGUCUUUUCAUGAAAGAUUUUAGGAGAAAAUAUUUUCAGUUGUUUGCUUCAAAAUUCAAUUUUUCAUUGAGAAACAUAUCCAUUGCCAAGAAUAUUGCCAAAAAUUGCCAAAAAGUCCCAAAUGAAACCAGAGAUGCUGAAAAGGCUCUGCGCAAGAUCUGUUUCAAGCAAAUAGAAGUCUCUUUUGGCAACACCAUUCUGAUUUGAUUACAGGAAAAGACAAGCCAGUAAAUUUUAAUUUGUAGAUUUGUAAUUUGUUCAUAAAAAUUUCAAAUAAUUUUGCAAGGAAGAUUGCCGUGUAUCUUACAGAUAAUACAAAAGAGAUCUUCAGGUACACUGAGAUUCGGUUGAUCAGGAUACUAAUUACUAAGCUACAUUUAAUUUCAAAAUUUUAAAAUGCUUGAAAACUCAACCAAUCAUCUCUGUUCCUUGAAAACACAUUGUUUUUCAGAAAUAUUACAGAAAAUCUGGGAUAUGGAGAUAUUUUUAAAGGUUGUGCUUCAUAACAAUGCAUUUCCCAGCUUCCUCUGUGCAAUAAAAAGGUAAACUAAGUUAUCAACAAGAAAUCUAUCUGCUAAAAGUUAAUAACAAACAUCUGCUGGUCUCCUGGGAGAGACAGUGGAAAAUGGGUGGGAAUUUCCAGCUUUAAGCAGCCACUCCCGCAAUGUUCAAGUCAACAGAAAAACCUGUCAGUAGAAGGUCAGAGUCAUUAGGAGAUUUUUUCCCCUGCAGAGAAAUAGAUCAGAUACCCAUAAUUUCAGAGACAUUAUUUAGGAUUUUACAAAGUUCUCACAUUAGCUGAAGCUCUUAUGUAAAGCCUACCUUUCGGAGCUACAUCUUAAAGGCUUAUAAGACCACCCUGAAAGGUGCAAAGAAGACACGAACAAGCUCUUGUCAGUGGUGCCCAGUGCUAGGACAAGAGGUGACGGGUGCAAACUGGGGCACAGGAGGUUCUCCCUGUCCAUCAGGAGGCACUUCAGUGCUAUACAGGAGACAGAGCACUGGCACGGGGACACAGAGAGGGUCUCCUCUUUGGAGAUCUCCAAAAGCCACCUGGAUGUGGGCCUGGGCACCCUGCUCUGGGUUGUCCCGCUGGAGCAGGGAUGGGCCAUAUGACUCCAGAUACCUCUUCCAACCUCGGCCAUUCCACGAUUCUGUGGCUAUAAGCAAGCAAAGGUCCCAAUCCACAAAAGAAUACAGUUUAAAAAGAUUCCUAACAUCAGCAAAGUCGAGACAAUAUGUAAUGUCCCAUAUGUUCAUGAUCCUAAGCCCCUUGCACUAUCUUAGGUAAUGCUCUUUUAGUGUCAGAAAUGUCUCAUUUGCCAAUCACUAAGAAUACAUACAUAAGCCAUUAUUUCUGUUCAGUUGAUUCAUGGUCAUUUGUUAGAUUACAGUAAUAUGAUUGUGACGCUGAGUCCUAAGAAGUCAUUAUCUAAGGUAAUUAUAAAUUCUAAAGGAGCAAAAUACUUUCAGCACAUAGAGGGAAAGAACAGGUAGUUUAAUAUGAAGUUCUGCAGGUACCUUCAGAAUGUCUGACCUGAAAGAUGCCAGGUUUUAAUGAGGAAAGAGGAUAAGUGCUGAUAUUCUGUUCUUGUUAACUUGAAAAUUUUGAGAUACUUAAAAACUUUUUUUUAUCCAUAGUUUAUAGAAAAUUUAGCUCUUUCAAUUUGCUAACAAAGUUUUCACCAUGAUAUUACGUAAUAUUGACUGUAGCAUGGUAAGACUUAAAAUGGGUAAAAACCCAUUACUAUUUUUGCAGUUUUCUUUCUUACCAAACCACUUAUUCAGCAAACAAAUAGCAUAAGGUGAUACUAUUUUCAGGUAUUUUCCUGUCUCUGGGAUAACUGCUGAAGCUUACAUCUGUAAAUAUUAGCUUAAGCAACCGGUUAAAUAUAUUUCUGGUCCUCAAAGAAAUAACUGUAGUUAUAUUUAAGCAUUCCUACUUACGAACAUUUUCACGUAAGUAUCUUCUACCAUCAUUGGCUAAUAUCUCUGCCGACCAACUGUCAUGGAUGUGGCGCAGUUCAAAUCAUCUUGCAUUUCUGUGGGUUUACAUCAUCUUAAACCUGUAUUAAUUUGAAGGUACAUUUGGCACAAUGUGAGUUUUAUGGGCAUCACUUGUAGCAUCAGCAAUUAUUGAGAUUACUUGUUUCUUCUCAUUUCAAGCAUGUUGGUGCUGCCAGUGUUACAGUCAUAUGACUAGGGUGAGCCUGACAUGUCAGACACCUGUCUGAGCUUGAAAGAUUUUUGGAAAACUUCAUCCUAAGGAGUUCAGCUUUUUCCAACACUUUGACCAUGGAAAAAUCCCCAUCUUUUUCAUGUUAAACUUCGAAGUAACCUUUUUUUUUUUUUUUUUUUUUUUUACCACAACUUUAAC